UCUUCGGGGGUACACGAGUGGCGAACGGGUGAGUAACACGUGAGUAACCUGCCCUUGACUUUGGGAUAACAUCUGGAAACAGGUGCUAAUACCGGAUAUGAGCUCUCUCUGCAUGGGGAGGGUUGGAAAGCUCCGGCGGUCAUGGAUGGACUCGCGGCCUAUCAGCUUGUUGGUGAGGUAGUGGCUCACCAAGGCUCCGACGGGUAGCCGGCCUGAGAGGGCGACCGGCCACAUUGGGACUGAGAUACGGCCCAAACUCCUACGGGAGGCAGCAGUGGGGAAUAUUGCACAAUGGGCGGAAGCCUGAUGCAGCAACGCCGCGUGCGGGAUGACGGCCUUCGGGUUGUAAACCGCUUUCAGCAGGGACGAAGCUAACGUGACGGUACCUGCAGAAGAAGCACCGGCUAACUACGUGCCAGCAGCCGCGGUGAUACGUAGGGUGCGAGCGUUGUCCGGAUUUAUUGGGCGUAAAGAGCUUGUAGGCGGUUUGUCGCGUCGGGAGUGAAAACUCAGGGCUUAACCCUGAGCCUGCUUCCGAUACGGGCAGACUUGAGGAAGGUAGGGGAGAAUGGAAUUCCUGGUGAAGCGGUGGAAUGCGUAGAUAUCAGGAGGAACACCAGUGGCGAAGGCGGUUCUCUGGACCUUUCCUGACGCUGAGAAGCGAAAGCGUGGGGAGCAAACAGGCUUAGAUACCCUGGUAGUCCACGCCGUAAACGGUGGGUACUAGGUGUGGGGGACAUUCCACGUUCUCCGUGCCGCAGCUAAUGCAUUAAGUACCCCGCCUGGGGAGUACGGCCGCAAGGCUAAAACUCAAAGGAAUUGACGGGGCCCCGCACAAGCGGCGGAGCAUGCGGAUUAAUUCGAUGCAACGCGAAGAA
rnacentral:rRNA from 1 species